rnacentral:lncRNA from 1 species
UUUCUUUGGAUAGAGGCUGGACUUCUCUCAAGCUGUCACUGGGCAUCAGAUGGGAAUGCUCUGUCUCCAGGGCAAGGAAGGAAAUUCCAGAGAGUUAGCCAAGACAAUCAGGGUUAAUGUUCUCUUUAAGAAGUGUGGUGCAAGCAGGACCCUCUCUUUCCCAUUCAAAGAUUGUCCACAGCCACAUAGCUGCCCAAAUGGAUAUUGGGGUACCCCAAUCUUGUGUGAAGCGGAAUGCUGGAGCAUCAUUUCUCCAGGAGACUGGGAUAGCAGGCUUGGCAGAGCAGGGCUCUUCUUGGCAGCUCCCCCAUCCCUGUGAUCCUCACAAGUGCUGUGUGAUGCUUGCAGAUCACUCCUGCAGAGAGCUCUCCCUAAAUAAAGCGCUGACAGCUGCUAAGAGGAGGACUGAACGGUCUGAAGUCUUCUUAGGAUUGUCUGCUGGCACUCAGCACUUCUGGGUCUCGAAGGACUUACCAGCCUGAAUCCAGCAACAGGAUCCUGCCAAAGACUUUUGGCCUGGCCCUGGAAAUCAAAUAUCUUGGUUUGCAUGGCUUCAGAUGUAAGAAACACAAUGGUGUCGAGCUGCCUUUGAAGGAACUCAGCUGGGUGCCUUUGCUUUACCAGGAAGGUUUAGCUGCAGAGGGACAAACCACCCAUCCGUUACUCACUCAUAACUGGAGACUUGGCAGAGUUUCUCUCUCUUUCUCCUCUGGCCAGUGCUGGGGUGAGGAAGGGGAAUGAUUAGCAAGAUUAAUCUCCUGUAGACUAGAUGGACGUGUAAUCUUAUGCACUAUCUUCAAGACAGACUGGGUUGAUGUUAUUGUUUCCUUUUCAUCUGAGUUUACAUCUUCACAAGCAAAGGCAAUAAGAUGGAAGUAGGCAUGAAGGGAAAAAUAUGAAGGAGAAACGAAGC